GAAAUUUUUGGCCCCUGAUUUGGGAGAGAAAUUAAAGCAAAUUUGUAUCGCCUCUAGGAUACAUCACGGUUGGGUAUCCUAGAGGCGACGUAAGCCACAUAAAACGACAAUUUAUUGUGUGAAACCAGAAACCAGGCAUACUAUUUAUAACGCGUUUUUACUUCUUUUUUACUAAUAAUAACUUAAAAAACACCAUUUACUUUGUUUACCUUUGAUAUGGCAAAAUAUACUCGGCGGAUCAAUUUUUUUUCUCCGAAAUCGAAAACUUUUUGACAAAAUACGAUCGUAAGCCAUGAUCCAAUUUGUAUUUGGAACGGAAUUGAUCUUCGAACAUAUGCAUAUUCGGUUUCUUGAAAAUUCCCAUUUUUGGGGUUUUUGAUACACUGUUUUUGUUUUUGCCAAAAUAACCGGUCUCUUACUUAUGGUUCAUUUCUAACAUUUAUUGGAGACUAUUGUCGCUUCUGUUUCAUUGAAUUUUUAUUUAUUUAUUAAUUUCAAUAUAAUACAAAAAGCCAUUAGGCCAAAUAACUGUGUUAUAAGGAAAGCUACCUGAGUAAAAGUAUCUAAACGAUAUGAAAACAGUAAAAAAUAAAAUGUAAAUAAAAAAUUUAUAAGUAGCAAAAUUAGCUCCCCAGCCGUAAUACACAAAAAAUAUAUUUAUGAACAUACCUGAAGUAUAAUUGCCAAUCGAAGUUAAAUAGGUCAGUUGUUGUUGUUGUUGUUGUAGCAGUGUGUUGUACACUGAGGCGGCAGCCCUUGCCGAUGGAUAACUCCAUCGGGUCAAUCCGGUACGUACAACCGGCUGCCAUGGGAUUGAAAUAGGUCAGUGAUGAUAGUCAGUGAUAAAAUUGUACAUGAAGAUGCAAUGAAAAGCGGAAAACGUUACACUGCGAAAAAUAAUUCCAGCAAUGAGCAACUCUAACUACCAAGGACUUCAUAUAAAUAGAAUUCCUAAUAAAUGGAAUCACUAUUUGCGGAUUUCCGGUAGACCUACUAAACACAAAGCUUUCAUACAGAGUAAGCGGUCGCCCAUAUUUGAUAUUUUAAGGAAAUCAUCAAAUGGACAACCUAGGAACUGCUGUACGUAAUUCGAAAUGUGGUCACGGCUAUCAACAUUAUGUCGUUAAAGGAAAUAAAAAAAAUUUUCGAAUUUUCUUAGAUUGGCUAGAUUUCAAAAAACAAAUUAAAAAAAUAUCAUCAAAAUUUUCUUGAAAAUAAAAAAAAAACUUAUAAUUAAA